UGGGGAAUUUUGGACAAUGGGCGAAAGCCUGAUCCAGCAAUGCCGCGUGUGUGAAGAAGGCCUUCGGGUUGUAAAGCACUUUUGUCCGGAAAGAAAUCCUUGGCUCUAAUACAGUCGGGGGAUGACGGUACCGGAAGAAUAAGCACCGGCUAACUACGUGCCAGCAGCCGCGGUAAUACGUAGGGUGCAAGCGUUAAUCGGAAUUACUGGGCGUAAAGCGUGCGCAGGCGGUUUGCUAAGACCGAUGUGAAAUCCCCGGGCUCAACCUGGGAACUGCAUUGGUGACUGGCAGGCUAGAGUAUGGCAGGAGGGGGGUAGAAUUCCACGUGUAGCAGUGAAAUGCGUAGAGAUGUGGAGGAAUACCGAUGGCGAAGGCAGCCCCCUGGGCCAAUACUGACGCUCAUGCACGAAAGCGUGGGGAGCAAACAGGAUUAGAUACCCUGGUAGUCCACGCCCUAAAACGAUGUCAACUAGUUGUUGGGGAUUCAUUUCCUUAGUAACGUAGCUAACGCGUG
rnacentral:rRNA from 1 species